AAUAUAUGUAGAUUCCAUGGAGAUGUAAUAUGUACAAUAAUAUGUAGACUCCAUGGAUUUUCUAAAAUUUUGCUUUCCCUAUCAGUUUAUGGAAUACAUUUCUCCAUGGGGAUUUAGGGGUGAACUGUCAGUAAACCUACGUUUUAUUAUGAGAAGGGGAAUCGCACUGAUUUUUUUGGAGGUAUUCACCAGCCUUUGCCUACCAUAAAUGCCAGUUAAAG